rnacentral:rRNA from 1 species
GACGAACGCUGGCGGCGUGCUUAACACAUGCAAGUCGAACGGAAAGGCCCCCUUGUGGGGUACUCGAGUGGCGAACGGGUGAGUAACACGUGAGUAACCUACCCUUGACUUUGGGAUAACUUCAGGAAACUGGGGCUAAUACCGGAUAGGAGCUCCUGCUGCAUGGUGGGGGUUGGAAAGUUUCGGCGGUUGGGGAUGGACUCGCGGCUUAUCAGCUUGUUGGUGGGGUAGUGGCUCACCAAGGCUUGACGGGUAGCCGGCCCGAGAGGGUGACCGGCCACAUUGGGACUGAGAUACGGCCCAGACUCCUACGGGAGGCAGCAGUGGGGAAUAUUGCACAAUGGGCGGAAGCCUGAUGCAGCAACGCCGCGUGCGGGAUGACGGCCUUCGGGUUGUAAACCGCUUUCGCCUGUGACGAAGCGUGAGUGACGGUAAUGGGUAAAGAAGCACCGGCUAACUACGUG